GGCCUACCAAGGCGACGACGGGUAGCCGGCCUGAGAGGGUGACCGGCCACACUGGGACUGAGACACGGCCCAGACUCCUACGGGAGGCAGCAGUGGGGAAUAUUGCGCAAUGGGCGGAAGCCUGACGCAGCGACGCCGCGUGGGGGAUGACGGCCUUCGGGUUGUAAACCUCUUUCAGCAGGGACGAAGCGAAAGUGACGGUACCUGCAGAAGAAGCACCGGCCAACUACGUGCCAGCAGCCGCGGUAAUACGUAGGGUGCAAGCGUUGUCCGGAAUUAUUGGGCGUAAAGAGCUCGUAGGCGGUUUGUUGCGUCGGCUGUGAAAUCCCGAGGCUCAUCCUCGGGUCUGCAGUCGAUACGAGCAAACUAGAGUGUUGCAGGGGAGACUGGAAUUCCUGGUGUAGCGGUGAAAUGCGCAGAUAUCAGGAGGAACACCGGUGGCGAAGGCGGGUCUCUGGGAAACAACUGACGCUGAGGAACGAAAGCGUGGGUAGCAAACAGGAUUAGAUACCCUGGUAGUCCACGCCGUAAACGGUGGGCGCUAGGUGUGGG
rnacentral:rRNA from 1 species